UACGUAGGGGGCUAGCGUUGUCCGGAUUUAUUGGGCGUAAAGGGCGCGUAGGCGGCUUGGCAAGUGGAUGGUGAAAUCCCUCGGCUUAACCGAGGAACUGCCGUCCAAACUGCUUGGCUUGAGACCGGGAGAGGUGAGUGGAAUUCCCAGUGUAGCGGUGAAAUGCGUAGAUAUUGGGAGGAACACCAGUGGCGAAGGCGGCUCACUGGACCGGUACUGACGCUGAUGCGCGAAAGCGUGGGGAGCAAACGGGG
rnacentral:rRNA from 1 species